rnacentral:rRNA from 1 species
GAUGAACGCUGGCGGCGUGCCUAAUACAUGCAAGUCGAGCGAACAGACGAGGAGCUUGCUCCUCUGACGUUAGCGGCGGACGGGUGGGUAACACUUGGAUAACCUACCUAUAAGACUGGGAUAACUUCGGGAAACCGGAGCUAUUACCGGAUAAUAUAUUGAACCGCAUGUUUCAUUAGUGAAAGACGGUUUUCCCGUCACUUAUAAAUGGAUCCGCGCCGCAUUAGCUAGUUGGUAAGGUAACGGCUUACCAAGGCAACGAUGCGUAGCCGACCUGAGAGGGUGAUCGGCCACACUGGAACUGAGACACGGUCCAGACUCCUACGGGAGGCAGCAGUAGGGAAUCUUCCGCAAUGGGCGAAAGCCUGACGGAGCAACGCCGCGUGAGUGAUGAAGGUCUUCGGAUCGUAAAACUCUGUUAUUAGGGAAGAACAAAUGUGUAAGUAACUAUGCACGUCUUGACGGUACCUAAUCAGAAAGCCACGGCUAACUACGUG